UGAUUUCUUUUGAUUUUCCCAUGAUGUCAAGCAAAGAUGCACAGAGUUUGAAGACAAUCGACUCCUCCUUCAGAACACAUUCAGCAAACUGGGGAAAAAUUUGAUGGGCAUUUCAGUCUUCCCCAACGAAAUUAUGUUUACACUUAAGAUUCUAAUUCGCAAAGACCCCACAAGAAGUAACAUCUUGUUUCCAUGGGUGAGGAAGGGUACCACACACCCAUCUGGAGAUAUUACCCCCCUUCUCUCUCUCAGGAAUGAUCUGAACAUCUAUGUUAAUAAAAGUACAGCAUUUUGACACUUUAUUGAUUACAAUAUAGAGAUUAAUAGUAUAGCAUUUCAAAGACUUUAUUGAUUCCAUUGUAAAAAAUUAUAUUAAAAGCAGUUUUUACCUUGUCA